rnacentral:rRNA from 1 species
GACGGAGGAUGCAAGUGUUAUCCGGAAUCACUGGGCGUAAAGCGUCUGUAGGUGGUUUAAAAAGUCUACUGUUAAAAAUUGAAGCUUAACUUCAAAGAUGCCGUAGAAACUUUUAAACUCGAGGAUGGUAGGGGUAGAGGGAAUUUCCAGUGGAGCGGUGAAAUGCGUAGAUCUUGGAAAGACCACCAAUGGCGAAGGCACUCUACUGGGCCAUUACUGACACUAAGAGACGAAAGCUAGGGGAGCAAAUGGGAU